rnacentral:piRNA from 1 species
UAAUGAUCUGCCUCAAACCUAGUUUUCNGCC